rnacentral:rRNA from 1 species
GACGAACGCUGGCGGCGUGCCUAACACAUGCAAGUCGAACGAAAGUAGCAAUACUUUAGUGGCGGACGGGUGAGUAACACGUGGGUAACUAACCUUGAUGAGGGGAAUAGCCUCCCGAAAGGGAGAAUAAAACCGCAUAAUAUUAUAUUGUCGCAUGACAGUGUAAAGAAAAGAGCAAUCUGCAUCAAGACAGGCCCGCGGCGCAUUAGCUAGUUGGUAAGGUAAAAGCUUACCAAGGCGACGAUGCGUAGCCGAUCUGAGAGGAUGAACGGCCACAUUGGAACUGAGAAACGGUCCAGACUCCUACGGGAGGCAGCAGUGGGGAAUAUUGCACAAUGGGGGAAACCCUGAUGCAGCGACGCCGCGUGGGUGAAGAAGGCCUUCGGGUUGUAAAGCCCUGUCAUUUGGGAAGAUAAUGACGGUACCAAAUGAGGAAGCCACGGCUAACUACGUGCCAGCAGCCGCGGUAAUACGUAGGUGGCAAGCGUUGUCCGGAAUGACUGGGCGUAAAGGAUGCGUAGGCGGAUUAAUAAGUGAGAUGUGAAAUACCUGAGCUCAACUUAGGAGUUGCAUUUCAAACUGUAAAUCUAGAGUGCAGGAGAGGUAAGCGGAAUUCCUAGUGUGGCGGUGAAAUGCGUAGAUAUUAGGAAGAACACCAGUGGCGAAGGCGGCUUACUGGACUGUAACAGACGCUGAGGCAUGAAAGCGUGGGGAGCAAACAGGAUUAGAUACCCUGGUAGUCCACGCUGUAAACGAUGAAUACUAGGUGUAGGAGGUAUCGACCCCUUCUGUGCCGCAGUUAACACAAUAAGUAUUCCGCCUGGGGAGUACGAUCGCAAGAUUA